UACGUAGGGUGCGAGCGUUAAUCGGAAUUACUGGGCGUAAAGCGUGCGCAGGCGGUUCGUUGUGUCGGCGGUGAAAGCCCCGGGCUCAACCUGGGAAUGGCCGUUGAAACUGGCGAACUGGAGUGUGGCAGAGGGGGGUGGAAUUCCCGGUGUAGCGGUGAAAUGCGCAGAUAUCGGGAGGAACACCGGUGGCGAAGGCGGUUCUCUGGGCCUUACCUGACGCUUAGGAGCGAAAGCGUGGGGAGCGAACAGG
rnacentral:rRNA from 1 species